CCGCACGCGCGCCCCGAGCCUCUGCCCGCGCCCGCCGCCAACUUUGCAGCCCGAGCCGCGGCGCCGGCGGCGCCCGGGCCGGGGUGCGGCGCGGGGAGCGAGCGAGCGGCGCGGGCACGCGGGCACCCGGGCACGCACGGGCCGGCACGGCCACCCGCCGCCCGCCGGUGUGACGGGAGCCCCGCUGCCCGCCGCAGAAACCUGCCCGAGCGUCCAGGCACCGCUGCGAGAGGCGCCCACUGGGUUCCACGCACCACGACGCGCCCACUGGGUUCCACGCACACUUGGAUUCCGCGCGGCGCCCCGCGGUCCGGCGCCCCCGCCGCCCUAGGGAAGGACAAGGAACGGAGGAAACGUCAGCCUAGAGGAACUGCGCCGCUGCCACGGCCCCCACGCUCCCCCACCCGAGUGGAGCGUGGCAGUGCAUUGGACUGAAGAUUUAGUGUGCAGGUCCCUGCAUCCGGACGUGGUUCCGGCAGGCCGUGUGGCCAGCGCUGGCCCCACGGAAGCCAGAGCUCCCCACUAGCCUCUUUAUGUUGUAUUGUCAUUGUCUCCUCAGAUCGCUGCCUUCCCUCCCGCCGACCGCUUGCAGUAAGUUGAGAUGUGAGACGCCAACACUCGCCCCAAUUUAUUUUGGAGGACCAGGAAGGGCUGGUGUGAAUGCUUAGCGCAAAAAUGGCCCUGCUCCCGUCACGUGGUUCCUUCCCUGGCCCAGCACCCCUAGGUGUGGCAAAUAAAAAAAAAAAAGUUAUUUUGAGCAGGUGGGAUUCUUAACAAAGCUUCCCUCCUUUCCUGUUUUCAAUUCUAUAAACAACCACACUGUGCCCUUCCUGAUACCUACCGAGGCUAUAUUAGAAAGAGAGGUGUUGGGCACGAUGAAUCAGCUUCUUCAAAGCUUAGUUGAUUCAAUUUUCUUUUUCUCUCACUUUUAAAUUUAAAAUCCUACUAAAGUCGUCACAUGAUUCCCCAAAACAACAACAAAAAAUAUGGGCAUGGAAGAAAACAACAUAUAAUGAAACCCAACUGCUUCCUGAGCACAUCUAAUAAUUGGUAUUAUUUAUUAUUGUUUUUAAAAAGUGAUAAUGACAAGUGAUACAGGUGAUAAAAAAAAAAAAACGGGCCAGAGAAAUAGUAAAAUGGGUAAGGCACUGGACUUGCACAGAACUAACCUGAGUUCAAUCCCUCAAUUCCCAGCACCCUAUAUGGUUCCUAGAGCACUGCUGGGAGUGAUUCCUGAGCACAGAGCCAGGAAUAAGCCCUAUACAGCAGUGACCAGCUGUGGCCCAAAGUAAAUUAUAAUUUGUGGGGCUGGAGCCAGAGCAUAGCGGGUAGGUUUGCCUUGCAUGUGGCUGACCCAGGCUUGAUUCCCAGCAUCCCACAUGGUCCCCCGAGCUCCACCAGAAGUUAUUCCUGAGUACCGAGCCAGUAGUUAGUCCCUGGGCAUCACCAGGUGUGACCCAAAAAGCAAAAAAAAAAAAAAAAAAAUUAGAAUUUGUAUUUAUUUUGAAUUUUUUUUUAAAUCAUACCUUUGAUGCUGGAGAGCCCGUACAGCAGUUAAAGAGGUUUGCCUUGCAUUCUGCAAACCAGAAUUCCAUCUUGGGCACUGCAUACGGUGCUCUAGCAUAGCUAGUUGCAGUCCCAACCCCCCCCCCCACCCAAAUCCCCACCCUCCAUGUUCCAGAAGACCCAAAAAUUAAUAACAUAAACAUUUAGAAGUUUUUUUUAAU